rnacentral:sRNA from 2 species
GUGGCUCGAUGGAAAAAGUCUAUUUGGAGAUACCUAGGCAAGCUGUCGCUUGUUACUUGUCAAAGGAUCCGCUGCGUGCGGGGGAGGAUGGAGCUGCGCCUUUGUUCCCCCGGUGUGUGAUACCGGCGGCUCCCGCGUGUGUUGUCCGUGUUGUCUCUCGCUGCGUGUUGCUGCGGGUGUUGGUGUUGGUGUUGUUUCUUCGCUCUUUGCUGUGAGGGCUUUUGUGCAGGAACAAUGUUUCUCUAGUUCACUUCUUCUCUUUCCCACAAUCUAUAAUCUCCCGUCUUCAGCGCAGCUCUAGAGGCUAGAGAGAAACACUACGUUGCUACCUCUGUUUCACACUCCAUGCUGCGUUCUGGUCUCAUCCCCCGUUUCCCCUGCUCCGUACGCCCUCUGUUGGAUAUCUACGAUUUGAUCCGCUAGAGGUUAAGCAUAAUGUCUUCCAUUAGACAGCGAGCUGCCCAGUUUGCUGGAAUGUUCAGCAGUCCAAAGUCUCCCGAUGAGCUUCCCUGGGACGCUGAGAAUACAAAACUUCCUCUCCGCAAGGACCUGCCAAAAAUUCCAGAUGCUCCUGAGGGUGCAGCUUGGGUUUGGGGCAAAAAUGACAACAUUGGUAGAUUGAAUCUGCUUACUCCAUCCCGAGUCAAGGCUGCAGCCGACGAGAUCAAGACAGGGGAGAUUGUUCCUCUCAACCUUCCGUUGAACGUUCCAGAACAGCCAGGAUUUGGUCGCGAGAAAUUCGUUCACUCGAUAAAGACCCUGAUUCCAGGAAUUGCUUAUGACGACAAUUAUCAACUCAACACGCAGAGUGGAACCCAGUGGGACGGCUUCAGACACUUUGCUCACAUCUCAUCCCAAACAUUCUACAACGGGACCAAACCAGAUGACAUUUCGGGCCCUAGCGCCAACCACAACUGCAGUAUUCACCACUGGGCCGAACGUGGCAUCGCUGGCCGCGGUGUCCUCCUCGACUACCGCUCGUAUGCCACGGCCAACGGCAUCGAUUACGACCCUUACUCUCCGCACGCCAUCAGCUUCGAAGAGCUCCAGAAAUGCGGCAAAGCCCAGGGCAUUGAUAUUCGCCCCGAAUCACAAGGCGGGGACAUCAAAGUCGGCGAUCUCCUCUUGAUCCGUUCAGGGUUUGUGGAAGCUUACUACAAACGCAGCCCCGAGGAGCGCACAAGGCUCGCCCUGCGCGGACAUGGUUCGGGCGAUGACAAUACUGAGUCAGGUGAGGAGGAGGAGGAGUAUGCGGGAGUGGCGCAAGAGGAGGCCGUGCUUGACUGGUUGCAUGACUGUUAUUUUGCGGCCGUGGCUGGAGAUGCGCCUGCGUUCGAGCGCUGGCCCACAACUGCCGAGUACUACCUACACGAACACAUUCUAGCGCUGUGGGGAAUGCCGCUGGGUGAGAUGUGGAAUUUGGAGGCGCUGGCAAAGGUGUGUCGUGAGAAGGGAAGGUAUUUUUUCUUCGUGACUAGUGCCCCUGCAAAUGUGAAAGGUGGCGUGGGUUCCCACGCAAACGCAACCGCGAUCUUCUAACUUGAUAUAGGAGAGUGUAAUAAUGGAAAGAGGAACAAUGAAGGUCAAGUGAUGUAAGCAUGGCGAUGCGGAGUUGAAUUCAUGUUUCCCCAAUAAGGGUGGUGGUCGUUCUUAUUUUCCCAUACGAAAUACGUUAGUUGUGACAUGCAUAUCGGUUAAUUUUAUGCAAGGGGCGUAUUUUCCAGUCUUUAUUUGCAUUUGCAUCUGGCCCGGUGGUUGAGAUUUGCAGUCUGCGUCCAUACAUGUUGUGAAUAUUGAUUGAUUGUGGCCUCCUCUCGUUCUUUUUGUUUCUAUUAACGCAAAUUGAAAAUAGCAACGUCGCAAUUGAUUCUGAUCAAUCCGGGCUUUUCAAAGUGGGUGUUGGUGGUUCUUAUUAUUCUUAUAACUACGUGAAAGAUUCCCAAAAUCAAACACCCAUAUUCCAUGAUAAUAACAACAGUUGUUGCAAG